CUCCCUCCAGUGCCCAUCCCAGCCUCCUGGCUGGGGUUUGGCAGGGAGAGGCCUCUGCUACAUCCCAUUCCUGGCAGGUAUGUUCUCCCUUAGGGUUCCCAGCGCCUCUAGCUGUGCUAACAAGCCACUGCUUCCCCACCAGCAGGCAAUACCAGCCUCAGCACUUUGCCUACCUCCUGUGCAGUAAUGCAGAGGAGAAAAGGCUCCCUAGUUUAUUUGCUUUUCUUGUGUAUUAUAGAUGCUGUGACACUAAGCCAGACCUCAUUUAUAUGUAACUCACUGCACUUGUCCCUUUAAAUUAUAAAGGCACACAACUGUCUAUAAAAUGGCUUAACAUGUACCUGUAGUAUAUAAUUAGCAUUGCAUGGGAUCCUCAUCUGUUUGUUGAUGGGCUAGUACAAACAAGCACAACCUUCCAAAUGAUGACACCAGGCAUGGGCUCUGUCUGGAAUCUGCUUCUGUCAGGCAUCUAAGCCUCUGUCUGUCGGAGAUGAGGUGGACCGAAGCAAGCUCUUGUUGCCAUUGUGAUUAACACAGAGCCCCACACAUCUGAGUACUCCUAGGGAUGUCUUGUUUUCCUUGCAGACAUGUCUUACAGGCAGAGCCUUAGGUUUUUUAUGCUGGCCCAGGUUUUCUAGCCAGUUGGUAGCCCUGCUGAGCACAGAUUAGCUACCUGGCAUGUGCACAGCCAGCCUGAAAGUCCUGGGGAUUUCCGACAGUUUUGUUCUGCUUGUGUAAAUGAUAGUAUGGUAAGUCUGGAGUGCCCAGGAUUGUGGCUUUGCCAUGCUCACUCAUGUUAUUCAAUGAAGGCAAGCAUACAUACUCUCAGAUCUACUGAACAUACACAGAACUGUGCAGAGUCAGUCUGGAUGCUUCCUGAAAUGCUGGGUUUGUAACACAUGGUCUAUAGAGCUCAUUUACACAUAUCUCCAUCUGGGAAAUCCCAGAGAAAGGGUUAUGGCAGCCUGACUAUUAAAUUAAUUUAAUUUUCUUUCCUUAAGGGCAUCUCCAUUUAACAGCAGUCACAGUUUUAUCCUCUGAAAAGAAAUUCUGAAGUUACGCUUAGCUAACCCUAAUUAUUUGUCAAUUUAUGUUUGCAUCCUCCUGUGACCCAUCUUCAGAGCACCUGAUAUGAGCCUGCUCUCAGGACUCAGGAGUACCACCAAGAACCCAAAGGUUUGCUCCCUACAGCUGUAGGAGCCACACAAUGAGAUAGAGUCAAGAGGAGGUUAGAUCAGGGGAGCGCUAGCAUUACAGGUAGCACAAGAAUUAGUUGUAACCCAUCACUGGAUAUGAAGUGAUUCAACAUGAUGAGUGUGAGUAGUGGCCCACCAUGACAAAGUGGAGGAGGUAAGGAAAGAGAUGGCAAUAGGACUAGGAAGUCUUGCAGUUUGGAUCACUCCUGAAACACUGGAUUUCUGCCAAUGUUUUAAUCAGCGGUAUUUUGAGGCAUCUCUGAGGAGGGAGUUUAAAGCCAAAAACCGGUCACAGCCUUUUCACACUGGGAAUUCACUAUUGAUGAUUUGUCACACGAAACUGGGCAGCUAAAAGCUACUCUGCUGGUCUGGACUGGUUGGCUAAAGCUCUUUAAACCUAGAAUAACUCAUAUGAACAUAAACAGCCCAUAGUGGGUGGUGCAGCACAAGUGCUCAAGCUUCUCCAGACCCUGUGUGCAGUUAUUUGUAGGAACUGGACCCACAGUUUUGCUCACACAGGCAUUUACACACAGGUACCUAACCAUUGACAUUUCGCAGUUGAGCAGAGCAGAGAUCAGUCUACCGCAUUUUCUCUCCUGCAAGCUGGAGGGAAGAGAUUUCAGCUCUGUAUUCAGAAAUCCUAAGCUUCCCUCCACCCCCCCUCCCCAUUUUUGACUUCAGUAUAGAAAAGUUACAAUGAAAUUAAACAUGUCAGUAAAAUUGAACCUCACAAAUAUUUCAUGAUUAAUUUAAUGGCUCCAGUACUUCAUUGUUGCUUAUUAUUGUGGUCACAAUUAUGGAAAGAAUAAAGUGAUUGAUUCCUUAUG